rnacentral:rRNA from 1 species
UACGGAGGGAGCUAGCGUUAGUCGGAAUUACUGGGCGUAAAGCGCACGUAGGCGGCUUUGUAAGUUAGAGGUGAAAGCCUGGAGCUCAACUCCAGAAUUGCCUUUAAGACUGCAUCGCUUGAAUUCCAGGAGAGGUGGAGGUGAAUUCCGAGUGUAGAGGUGAAAUUCGUAGAUAUUCGGAAGAACACCAGUGGCGAAGGCGGCUCACUGGACUGGUAUUGACGCUGAGGUGCGAAAGCGUGGGGA